rnacentral:lncRNA from 1 species
GUUGGAGCAGAGAGGCAGAAAGCGUACAAAAUAGGAAGCGGCCAGUCAUCUGCCCUAAGUGCUGCCGCCGAAGACUGAAUGUCCUGGAAAGUUUGCUGUCACAUCUCCAUUAUGACAAAAGCAUUGUGCCGAACAGAUGAAAAAAUGCAUUGUCAACGGAAUCUUUUAUGUUUGUUUGUCUUCCUUUAAGCAACAUUGCCUUACUUGUUAUAAAAGAUAAAUAAAUAUUUGUUCAUUUCAAUUCUGAUGAGUCUGUGAGCUGUUACCAUCAAGCACAGAGCAGCAACCUACUUUGGGAUUGAGAAAG